rnacentral:misc_RNA from 1 species
GCUUGAUGUCUAUUUUAGAAUCUGGAGCCCAAGAUUCUGAAUAGAAUUACUAUUUUUUUGAAUUGAUGAUCUGAAAAAUGAAUGUUUAAAAGAUCACACUGAACGCUGUUUUGUAAAUAAGUGUGAUCACAUUUUCAUGAAGCGAAAGUGAUUAGUAGAACAAGUCUUACUAUUAGCAAAUAGGAAUUAUGAAACUUAUAAGUGAUAGCUGUAAGAUGCUUGUUCACCUGUAUAUUCAAUCUUAUUCUUGUGAUUGUGUAGCAUAACUCCAUACAUAUUGCAUUUACUAUGUGUCACUUCUUAUCCCUUGCUACAAAGACUUGUUGCAAUUGAAGCUUGGGACUGCUGUAUAUAGCUUUCUUUAUCAUUUAUCUUACCUUCUAUUUAUUCUUCAAGAAAGAAAAUUUUAAGACAUCCUUGUGCU